UACGUAGGGUGCAAGCGUUAAUCGGAAUUACUGGGCGUAAAGCGUGCGCAGGCGGUUAUGUAAGACAGGGGUGAAAUCCCCGGGCUUAACCUGGGAACUGCAUUGGUGACUGGCGGGCUAGAGUGUGGCAGAGGGGGGUAGAAUUCCACGUGUAGCAGUGAAAUGCGUAGAGAUGUGGAGGAAUACCGAUGGCGAAGGCAGCCCCCUGGGCUAACACUGACGCUCAUGCACGAAAGCGUGGGGAGCAAACAGG
rnacentral:rRNA from 1 species